rnacentral:lncRNA from 1 species
GUAUUGAUAGAGCAAAAUGUUUUCUUAAAUCAAGGGAAUAGUCUUAGAACAGAUCUAUGAUUUUGUGCAGAAAAUCCAUUUGUUUGGGAGCUUUUCCUCCUCUCUUUGGCAAAUAAAUGGCAAAUGUGAAACAGACAAAAAUAUGAAUAACAAGUUGUGAUAAUAACUGUACAAGUAACAACAAAGUAGAUCAGUCAGUGGGAUAGAUUCACUCAGCAGGGCUUGGCUUUAUACUCUUUGCUGUCACUCCUUUUAUUCAUUUUUGUGAUCAAACAGAAGGAUUGAUAUGAUAAUGUUUCAGAGGCUUUAGGCAUCAUACUUUUUGCCAGUCCUGUGAAUCUGCUGGAAGAGUGUCAUGGAGAAGGCCAUGCCAAGAAUCUGCAUUAUAAAGAUACACAUCCCAGUUGAGCCAAGGACAUGCUUAUUCUCAUCAAACCAAGUCAUAACUUUCUCAUAACAUCCCGUUUUCCAUACUAAUUCAGUGGAAUUCCGUCCACAGUCUUGAGAGUUUUCUGUACAACAUCGGUCGGGGACAAUGUUUUCUCCCAGUACUGGGUACCAAUCCGUAAAGUCAUUUACACCACAGCAUUUCAUCUCUGCUUGAAUGAUAUUCCAUGCAUUUUUCAGUCCAACAUUAUUUUCUGAAUUGUACAGCUUCAUACCUUCCUUCAAAUCCUUCUUUGCGCUCUCACUGACCUUGUCCAUAUAAACAAAGAACAAAAUGAGUAAAAUCAGCU